rnacentral:piRNA from 1 species
UGGGUGUCAGAGUGAGACCUUGUCUCUAAA